CCCAUAUGAAUAUUAAUGCUACACCUCAGCAUGCACCCUCUCAUAGUUGUCAAGGCUGUAAUUCACAACACACGUCUCACCAAGAGAUUUUCCUGCGCGGCGCUCCAAAGCCCUAACAAGCUUUGAGCAGAUGACAGAACAGUCUGGCAAGCUGGCAGUCAUGGCAGAAAUGGACAUUUCUGCAGAAAAAAAAACCCCAAAGAUUUAUACGAUGUCUUCUGGAACAGCAAUACAUUACGGAAGAUCUACAUAAUUGCACUCUACAUGAUGCCAUCUACUUUGUACAGCCCACUGUGCUGGAAUAUGUGCGCUGAUCACCUAAGCCACUGCGGGGCACAGCAGCUCAAGCACCACCUCUUUCCUCCUGGAUCACCAUCCUGACGCACAGGGUCUAAGGGCAAAGGGCACUGCAGUAAGGGAGCCCUUCCUGGCAGAAAUGCAGGAUCCAUUGCACUACAUGAGGCUACGUGAGGUCCCUCACUACCCCAGCACUUCUUCCUGCACACGUCAGCUUGGUGGGAGAGCGAGGACAGGGGAGCAAGGACAUGCAGAACUGCAAGGAGGACGCCCCAAAACUC
ensembl:lncRNA